UUUCCCGAGGGUGGGGUUGGGGGGGGGUUUGCAAUUUGUGAAAAUGGUUGGUUCAAUCAUUAAAGGGCCAAGUUGUUUCACUCAGUCAAAUGUAUAGAAAGGUGGGCGUUUUCAGCACUUUGUAUUGCAGUGGUUCAUAAGUAUGGAUGUGAUAUAACUCAUAAUGCUUGAUAAUUCUUGACCAUCCACUUGUUGAUUUUUUUUCCAAUCUCUUGUGUUAUGUUCCCUGUGAAAAGAUACUUACCAUCAAUUGCUUUCCCAACUCAAUCUCAAGUGCAUAACACAGUUCCCUCUAUAAUGAAGUAAAGCUGCAUGAAAAGUUGACAAGCUUCAAGUCUUUUCUGAUUCUAAUGUGAUGAUAAAAUGCCACAAUCUUAUUCUGGUCAAAUGUUUCUUUGGUUUC
rnacentral:misc_RNA from 1 species